AGUCUCGUGUUGAGUUUUGAGAGUUUUGAGCGUGAAUUUCAUAAAGCUAUAAUGCUAUGAAAUUUUUGCUACUACAAUGCUUCGUAUGGCUUGAAAUUUUUGUUUCAUUUUCAUAGUAAAAAGAAAGUCAUUUAAAGCAGUUGAAUUGUGUUGUGAUUUAAAAAAGUCAGAGGUUUCAAUCGCAUCCUCACGCCUGCACAAAGUCGAGCUGACUGAGUGCGAUGAACACACUCGAUGUAAAUAAUGUCGUUACGCAAUUCUCGUCGCUAAUUCUGGCUCCGUGAUAAUUCACGCUCAUGGAACUUCACAUAUUGAGAAAUUCAUAACUACAACAAUCGAGCUCUCCGUGUACCAUGAAGAUAACACUUGUCAGUCACUGUCCAACGAGAGGUCAAUUAACCUAAAAUUAUCACGAAUUAACUCGAAAGUGUACGAACUUUUGGUUCAACUUGGGUUUUCGUUUAUUAUCGUAAGUUUAAUUCAAAUCAUGGCCAAAUUUUCAUCAACUGAAUUUUCAGUUUGAUAUUGAAAGAAAAAAUCGAUACGACGAGUGCUAAAAACUGUUGGAGUACUCGAAACCCAUUCUCGGCACAUAAAAAAAAGUUACGGAAGGUGUCAUUUAUAAAAUGCUUAUCAAUCACUAUUGAGACUGAUUUUCAAUGACAUUAAUUUUGGAAAUGUAUUAUCUUAUGAAACAAUGAACACUUGAAACUUUACUAUUUUUGAACCCUUGUCAAAGUACUUUCAUUUCCAAGUGAAUUGUACUUCCGGGACAUUAAUGAUGAUUUAUUUAAUACUUGAACUCGGCAGAUAAUUAUUAAUCAGUGGAAAUAAAAAUUAAAAAAAUCAUAUACAAAAACGCAGGGAUAAUGAACUAUCAAA